rnacentral:rRNA from 1 species
AAUCAACGCUGGCGGCGUGCCUCAGACAUGCAAGUCGAACGAUUAAACUUUCCUUCGGGAAAGAUAUAAAGUGGCGCACGGGUGAGUAACACGUAGGUAAUGUACCUUUGGGUGGGGAAUAACCAUCGGAAACGAUGGCUAAUACCGCAUAAUGCAGCGGCAUCGCAAGAUGACAGUUGUUAAAGAUUUAUCGCCUAAAGAGCAGCCUGCGGCAGAUUAGGUAGNGGUAAGGUAAUGGCUUACCAAGCCUGCGAUCUGUAACCGACCUGAGAGGGUGGUCGGUCACACUGACACUGAAUAACGGGUCAGACUCCUACGGGAGCAGCAGUCGGGAAUUUGGGCAAUGGGCGAAAGCCUGACCCAGCAACGCCGCGUGAAGGACGAAGUCUUUCGGG